rnacentral:rRNA from 1 species
GCCAGUGGCGAUAGCACGUUGAAUGCACUAGUUCUCGAUGGAUCACUGAAAUUAAGCAACGUUGCAUGUGGCUGGUAUCCGGAUGGGUGACCAUUUGGGGAAUCGCGUUCUGCUGGCU